rnacentral:misc_RNA from 1 species
UGUCCCUGUGCCAGAUAGCGCAGACUCGAGGCGGGCCGUAGACAAGGAUGGAGCUCACUGGGCCAUUACUGCAUCGCUCGCGGAUGCGUGCCCUUGCUUCUCCCAUGCACUUUAGUAGCACCUCACUUCGGUGGACGAGGGCGACGUUGUCGCUCAUGCGCGGCUGGACGGGUUUGCAAGCUGCUUCUUCCCCGGCGUGGGCGAGUACCAGCAGGUGCUGCUGCUACCCAUCGACGCAGAUGGUGUCUUGCCGCUGGCAAUCCACCGGGGACGGGUACGGGUACAUGACAGACGACUCCUCCGGGCUCCAGUCGGAGCUUUCGCACGCGCUCGAGGGAGAGGGCAACCUGUCCGUAGAUGCGAUGCUCUCUCAGUCUCUCGUACAGGCUGACCUGCAGACGCCGAGUGCGCGCAUUCAGCUGAAGAAGAUCGAGCGGCCUCCGGGUCGAUUCGAUCUUCUGACCAAUUCGCUGGUGUACAGCUGGCAGACAACAGCGGCGCAGGCGCGCAAGGUCAUCGGGCCGAUGCGGGAGUGGGCCUCGGAGCUCAAGUACCGCACCGGCGUCCACCUAGAGGUCGAGCCCACCAACCCGACGCGGCUCGGCGUGCCGGAGGAGGAGGGCGGCUACGCAGCAGCGGAUGAUGUGGAGCUGACGGUGUACCUCUUCGGCAGCGAACGUGGCAUCUUCAACUGCCGGCAGCUCAUGGAGACGGCGCUCGAUCAGAACCCCGCCUACGUGCGCUUGGCCGUGUUCCGGCGAAGGCCAGGUAAGGGCGUCAACACAAGCACUGCCGCGGCGCCGAGGCCACAGGAGGACGUGGAGUGGUUGCUGCUGCGCCGCAUCAAUCGCGAUCUGCGCCCGCCAGAUAUCCCGCCGAUCUCACUAAAGACACCUGGAAAGUGGACACUGCUGUACGAGCAUUACAAGGAGGCGGCGAUUCGAACCCUGUGGGAAGAGACGGGCAUCACCGUCGAGGCAGGGAACGUGUACCCUACCGCGGUACUGUGCCAGGACAACCCGAUCUACUACUGGCGUGUGCCGGUGCACUACUUCCUGGCUGAGGUGCCCUACGACGUACAGGUGCUUGGCCCGCAAGUGGGCCUGAACACGUACAUGCAUCACUGGGACACGUCGCUGCUGCGCCAGUCACCAGACCCCAUCGAUCGCGCGUGGGCUCAGCUGGCAGACCCGGAGACCGGCUGCGCCUGGAUGAAGCAGCCGAUGAUCGAUGAGCUGCAGCGCCCGCUGCGAGGGGAGAACUACAUGGCAACCCGCUACACCCCGCCGCCGUACUCACAGCUGAACCAUGCGCUGGGGUUGGCGGUGCCAGCAGAGGCGGCGGGAGAGGCAAGUGCUGCGGACUCGGCUCCGUCGGCUGCCGCAACCGUUGAAGGAGGAGAAGCGCAGGACGAUGUGAAGGAAGGUGAUAAUGCCGCUCCCUCUGCUGAUGCCGAUGCAUCCUUGUCGAAUGACAAGCCAAGCCCUUAGUUGUGUCAAAGUCUGUCUUGGCGCAUGAGGUGGGAGGCGGAUCUUCUCUUGAUCUUGGGCCUCGCCUCUUCCUUCACCGCUCCCACGGUGUCGGAGCGCCUCCACCCCUCUUUUUGUGUUUCCGGUGUGGAUGUGCAUGUGCUUGCGUGUGCGUGUGUGCGCUCUAAGGUGAAGCCGCCUGAUUCUCAAGUACACAGCGCUUCAUGAAGGCAAGCGGCGCAGGAAAAGCCGAGAGCGGAGAACGACGGGCUCGUUGGUAGUGGGGUAUCGCGGGCUAGGUCGCGGAGAGUUGGGCGCUGAAGUGGGACGAGGUUAGAGCACAGUGUGUUCACUUCCUUGUUCGCGCUCAACCUCGAUGCGUCUCCCAGCCUGCGUACACAGACGCACAACACUACUAUUCCUCUCUCUAGGGUCGUCAAGUCAUCUUCUCUAAAGAAGCGGCUGUGCAGGAUAUGCCUGGGUGGAUGCUCCAGCAUCGCCGCUGUCAGUCUUAGCCUCGACGCCGGGCCUUGCCCCCAUUUUUCCUCAUCUUGUCUUCCUCUCCCGUGUACUAGUACCCCUUGGAACAGACGGCACCGGCCCUAUUUUUUUUUUUUGCAUAUAUCACACAUGUCUUCGCCACUGCCACCUUCUCGCCUUCUCCUGCCUCCUUCUCCCUACCCCUGCUACUCUGUGCGCCUGACUCCGUCCUUCCCUGCCCACAUCUGCUGUGCGGCUGCGGGCGUCGAUCUUCGCGAACUGCGUCCCAUCUGCGCGUUUGCGUGUCCGCGUGCACCGGUUUGGUGGUCGGUAUCCUUGUGAAUGCACAG